rnacentral:rRNA from 1 species
CCUACGGGAGGCAGCAGUCGAGAAUCAUUCACAAUGGGGGAAACCCUGAUGGUGCGACGCCGCGUGGGGGAAUGAUGGUCUUCGGAUUGUAAACUCCUGUCAUGUGGGAGCAAAUUAAAAAGAUAGUACCACAAGAGGAAGAGACGGCUAACUCUGUGCCAGCAGCCGCGGUAAUACAGAGGUCUCAAGCGUUGUUCGGAAUCACUGGGCUUAAAGCGUGCGUAGGCUGUUUCGUAAGUCGUGUGUGAAAGGCGCGGGCUCAACCCGCGGACGGCACAUGAUACUGCGAGACUAGAGUAAUGGAGGGGGAACCGGAAUUCGCGGUGUAGCAGUGAAAUGCGUAGAUAUCGAGAGGAACACUCGUGGCGAAGGCGGGUUCCUGGACAUUAACUGACGCUGAGGCACGAAGGCCAGGGGAGCGAAAGGGAUUAGAUACCCCGGUUGUC